rnacentral:rRNA from 1 species
CACGUAGGGCGCAAGCGUUGUCCGGAAUUAUUGGGCGUAAAGAGCUCGUAGGCGGUCUGUUGCGUCCGCUGUGAAAACUCGGGGCUUAACCCCGAGCCUGCAGUGGAUACGGGCAGACUAGAGGUAGGUAGCGGAGAAUGGAAUUCCCGGUGUAGCGGUGAAAUGCGCAGAUAUCGGGAGGAACACCGGUGGCGAAGGCGACUACCUGGCCUGUUCUUGACGCUGAGGCGCGAAAGCUAGGGGAGCAAACGGG